AUAUUAAUUGCCAAUUUGCUUAAUUGAAGUUAGUUCCAGCGUGACAUUGGAGAGCACAAAAAGCUUCAGCUUAGUUCCAGCAAUUCACCAUCACACUCGAAAAACAAGCAAACUCCUCCGAUUUGAAUUUGUGAAUUUGUGGUUUCCUUCACCUGAGUUCCUCCGAUUUGAAUCUCUCAUCUCAAACUCUGAGCUCCGAACUUCAAUUUAAUCCCCAGAGAGAGAUUGAUCCGGCUCAAAACUCUCCGACAUAGUCGUAGCAGCAUCCCUUGCGAUCUCCUCCGCUUGAGAUCAAAAUUUUGGUGCGACCUUUUCAUUUCUCCUCUAAUUUCAUAUAUAAUUUCUCUAUUUAUAACCAUUAUUCUAUCAUUUUAUUGAAGCUCUGCUUUGGUGCAUUGUAAUUGAAGCUCUACUUUCGAAUUGAAGUCCAGUCUCACAGUAGCCAUUCUAAGUACUUGUUAGUUUUGAAAUGGACAAGAGUUGGAUUAAUGCGCCAAGGGUUAGUGAUGUUUAUAAGAGUGGAUGUGAGUCAUUCAUACAAUUUGCCAUGGAAGCUCAAGAAACUAUACUUUGCCCCUGCUUGAAGUGUUGUAAUGGCAAAAGGUUUUCAACUGAAAAUGUUCUUCAUCACAUAUUAUUCAAUGGUUUUUGUCCGGGAUAUACUACUUGGAAUUUUCACGGAGAACAUGUAUCGUCGGAAUAUGACACUUCUUACAUAAGAAAACUAGCGGCUCAAACAACUACUGUUCACAGAGAUGUCCCAAGUAAGAGUGAUACAAUUAGGGAUAUGAUACAUGCUGCAUUAGGAAAUGAUUUAGGAGAAGAUUCAAACCAUAAAAUUGGUGAGUUUAGUGACGGUCAAGCCCCUGAGAAUGUCGAAGGUCUUCAUGCUAAUAUUUCUUCAAGUGAACAACACCAUGAAAAUAAUUUUUGUGGUGUUGACGCCUCACGAUAUCAGAAAAUACUAGCAGAAUGUGAUAAAGAAUUGUAUCCUAAUUGCAAGUACUCACAGCUAUACUUUAACUUGAACCAAACAAGGGAAAAAAGCUCGUGCGACCCAAAGUCAUACUCAUAUAACUGGAACCAAGAGUUAUGCUCAAGUUGAAGAUGAGCAUGUCAUUAAAUAUAAAGAACAUCCAGGGCCACUUACAUUUUUUGACUUGACACAUAAAAGGAGAGAUGGUUCUUAUGUGCAGAGUGAUUCAAAAGAAUUUAUGAUGGCUGCCAAAUCAGAGAUUGUUAAACGUAAAACUGAAGGAACUUGUGAAAAUACUGUUGAAUUAGAAAGUUCAGUUUGGUAUGAUUUGAUGGGUGAUGAUAAACCUGGUCGAGCUCGUGGUUAUGGUAUUGGUGUCACGAAAUCAAGUGUGACCACCUUCCGAGCCAAACUUAGACAAAUGCAAAGUGAAUCAGAAAAAUCCAAUGCUCAUGACAUUGAAAUGGCCCAGCUCAAGCUAUUACUUAGCAAGCAACAACAACAACUUGUUGCACAAGAAAAUGCAAUGAAUGCAUACAUGGCAAAGACAAAUGAAAUUAUAGGCAAUUUGAGAGAUGAAGUUCUACUUUAUCGUACAGCAUUUGGAGCUGGUACAGGGGACGUACCCAACCAUCUGAAAACGAGCUCAGGUUGCACCCAAGCAUUGGAGGCUGGAGAUCAAUUUCAGCCAGGAUGCAGUGUUGAUGCUUUCAUCAAUAAGCUCACCUAAUGGCAUCCAGGCUGAAGUUCGUGGCUUCCAACAUGACGGCUCCUUGCACCUAUAACAAUUUCAGUGAAAGGGCAUAAAUUGCUUGAUAUAUUGAACCUUCAUAAGGGGUCACCAAAUAAAGGUCAAGAAUAGUAUGCUAAAAAGAGUGGCUGCUGAGGAUGAUCUUUCCCAAAUGAAAGCAUUUUCUUAAUCAUGUUUGACACAUGUAAUUGCAUAUAUUUCACCAUGCCCCAUAUAUAUUGGUGGUUGACCUUGUUAUUUGAGUUAAUUGCAUAAAUAUUCAAGAGCUUAUUUGGCAUGGAUAAUAGCAACAUCUAUUUCUUCUA